UGGUGAGGUAAAGGCCCACCAAGACUGUGAUGCAUAGCCGACCUGAGAGGGUAAUCGGCCACACUGGGACUGAGACACGGCCCAGACUCCUACGGGAGGCAGCAGUAGGGAAUCUUCCACAAUGGACGAAAGUCUGAUGGAGCAACGCCGCGUGAGUGAAGAAGGUUUUCGGAUCGUAAAACUCUGUUGUUGGAGAAGAAUGUAUCUGAUAGUAACUGAUCAGGUAGUGACGGUAUCCAACCAGAAAGCCACGGCUAACUACGUGCCAGCAGCCGCGGUAAUACGUAGGUGGCAAGCGUUGUCCGGAUUUAUUGGGCGUAAAGCGAGCGCAGGCGGUUUUUUAAGUCUGAUGUGAAAGCCUUCGGCUCAACCGAAGAAGUGCAUCGGAAACUGGGAAACUUGAGUGCAGAAGAGGACAGUGGAACUCCAUGUGUAGCGGUGAAAUGCGUAGAUAUAUGGAAGAACACCAGUGGCGAAGGCGGCUGUCUGGUCUGUAACUGACGCUGAGGCUCGAAAGCAUGGGUAGCAAACAGGAUUAGAUACCCUGGUAGUCCAUGCCGUAAACGAUGAGUGCUAGGUGUUGGAGGGUUUCCGCCCUUCAGUGCCGCAGCUAA
rnacentral:rRNA from 1 species